rnacentral:lncRNA from 1 species
CUCAGACACAAAGAAGUAAAAUGGCGGACAGAUAGUGAAGUGUUCUCUGAAGCUGCUGAGGAUUGUAAAGGACAACUGGAAACACAAUGGACGCUAACGCACCAACGAGUUGGACGACUGUCGUCAAACAAGAAGAAGAAGAAGAAUGGAGAGAACGGAGAGAACAGAGCUCAGUGAAGCUGACAGACAUUAAGGAGGAAGAUGAAGGCUGCAGGAGGAAAGCUGUGCUGGAGGAGCUUCGUGAUCAUGACUAUGUGUGGGACAGAAUAUUUGCUCCAAAUGGAGAGAAAAGCCCCGAAGAAGAAGAAGAAGAAGAAGAGUUUACGUCCAGCGCCACAAACCAAGUGAAGGAAGAGGAGCUGGUGGUAAGGCAGACCCUCAGCAGACUGCAGUCCAGACUCACUAAGGCACUUUCACGACGACCCUUGGACCUGGAUUAUUUAGAGUUUAUCUGCAGAAGUGAAAUGAAUCACCUCACUUCAUUCUCUACUCACACAAACUUCUUGCCAGCGGUACUUAAAGACCUUUCACAGCUUGUGACGCUCAUUGCCAUAAAAUUGGAGGAGAAGAGAAGCUCAGUUGUGCUGGAGAGAAGUGUUGGUGGAGGAGGGCGCCUGAAGAUGUUGGUGUCCAAAGACUACCUUCACAGUUUGAUUAAAACUGGCCUGACCAUCCCCUGCAUCUCCAAACUGCUUGGGGUGUCGAUAGAAACGAUCCACCGUACGAUGCAGCUUUGGGGGUUCUCGGUAAGGGAAGUCACCAGGACAACAACUGAUGAAGAUCUGGAUGGAUUGGUCUCUGCCAUCAAGCAGGAGUCGCCAAAUUUAGGUGCUGAGGAUUGUGAAGCCGUCAGGACAACUGGAAACACAAUGGACGCUAACGCACCAACGAGCUGGACGACUGUCGUCGAAGAAGAAGAAGAAGAAGAAGAAGAAGAAUGGAGAGAACAGAGCUCAUUGAUGCUGAGUGAGACGGACAAUGAGGAGGAAGAGGAGGAUGAUGAAGGCUGCAGGAGGAAAGCUGUGCUAGAGGAGCUUUGUGAUCACGACUAUUUGUCCAACGCCGCAGAUCAAGGCUCUGUGAAGGAAGAGGUAAGAACUUAGGGUGUACUCACACUGGCAACCAGGGCCGUUCCUAACUUGCUCUGUACAUGUGUGAAACCAU